UGAUCAAGUACUCUUUCCCAGGUUCCAAGCGAAGGCGGCAAGAGGCUCGAACCAGGAAGUUGCGGGUCUGACGGACGGUGGCCUUGGUGUCCUUGGCUGAGAGGAUAAGGGGCACAGGAGUUGUCAGAGGCGAAUGGAAGCCCCACCGGCCCAUCCGUUCCCUUCAUACUGAAGUGCAGAACUUGGGUGAUUCUGGUCUCGAAGAGACGGAAGGCAGCUCUGCCAUCUUCUCGAAGGACCUUCACCUGGAAGCCUACGAGGGCGUUUAAGAGAAGGGAGCACGGAGGCGUAGUCCCUGGCCCUGGCUCUCCGGUCCUCUGCACUCCCCUGAGGAGGUCUCAACCGCUCCUUGGCUUUCACCAAACCCUUCCAGGCUGAUGAUUAUUAAACUAUUAAAUUAGAUGUUGAGAUUA